rnacentral:rRNA from 2 species
GCGUAAGAGCUCGUAGGCGGUUUGUCGCGUCUGCUGUGAAAUCCCGAGGCUCAACCUCGGGCUUGCAGUGGGUACGGGCAGACUAGAGUGCGGUAGGGGAGAUUGGAAUUCCUGGUGUAGCGGUGGAAUGCGCAGAUAUCAGGAGGAACACCGAUGGCGAAGGCAGAUCUCUGGGCCGUAACUGACGCUGAGGAGCGAAAGCGUGGGGAGCGAACAGGAUUAGAUACCCUGGUAGUCCACGCCGUAAACGUUGGGCGCUAGAUGUAGGGACCUUUCCACGGUUUCUGUGUCGUAGCUAACGCAUUAAGCGCCCCGCCUGGGGAGUACGGCCGCAAGGCUAAAACUCAAAGGAAUUGACGGGGGCCCGCACAAGCGGCGGAGCAUGCGGAUUAAUUCGAUGCAACGCGAAGAACCUUACCAAGGCUUGACAUACACCGGAAACGGCCAGAGAUGGUCGCCCCCUUGUGGUCGGUGUACAGGUGGUGCAUGGUUGUCGUCAGCUCGUGUCGUGAGAUGUUGGGUUAAGUCCCGCAACGAGCGCAACCCUCGUUCUAUGUUGCCAGCGCGUUAUGGCGGGGACUCAUAGGAGACUGCCGGGGUCAACUCGGAGGAAGGUGGGGAUGACGUCAAAUCAUCAUGCCCCUUAUGUCUUGGGCUUCACGCAUGCUACAAUGGCCGGUACAAAGGGCUGCGAUACCGUAAGGUGGAGCGAAUCCCAAAAAGCCGGUCUCAGUUCGGAUUGAGGUCUGCAACUCGACCUCAUGAAGUCGGAGUCGCUAGUAAUCGCAGAUCAGCAACGCUGCGGUGAAUACGUUCCCGGGCCUUGUACACACCGCCCGUCAAGUCAUGAAAGUCGGUAACACCCGAAGCCGGUGGCCUAACCCUUGUGGAAGGAGCCGUCGAAGUGG